AAUGAGUGUGUACAACUCACACACUCCCUCACUGGGCUACUGCAUCAAAACCAGGCCAGAAUUUCACCUCUGACGAGGAGUCAAGUUCCAGUUGUUGGGUGAAGUUUCCUUCUCUCUUCCGGUGUCAAGGAAUCACUUGGGAUGAAAUCAGAUAUGAAGGCAAAGACCAAAUUCAGGACCAGCUAAGGUAUGUUGUUAAAUCUGAGAAAUACCACAGCCUGAGGUUUGUCAUAGUUACCAAAGUAACUGUACUUCUAACUCCUUCAUGGCCUCCUGGAGGGCACCCCACUUAGGUGUCAGGCUUUUACCGCCACCCUUCUCAGUGUGAAAACUUCUGUUCCUCUCCCUCCAGAGAUGAGGGAUUCAGGCUUCAAUUUCCUCCUGAAAUUCACUGUGAUCACCUUAGCAAGCCUGAGUUUAGUUCAGCACCUGGCAUCCUGCUCUCCCAGGAACUGACAGAGAUACCAGUGACCAGCCUGCCUUCAGCCAGCAAGAAAUGUCUCAGGUUUAACAGCUUGCGGUUUAUUAGACUGAUGCCUUCCUGCAGUCGAGAGAGAGACUCUGCUUCAGUGAACUUAGAUCGAAGUCUUGAAGCAAAAAAAAAAUGAAGAAAAGGACAAGCACAAAGGAAAAAAAAAUAAAACUGAGACAAAAGGAAAACACAAACCUUCCUGCCCCCUUCCUGGGUUAAGCAGUUUUGGAAACAAAUGUUAAUGAAAAACAGUAAGUACGUCAUUGCUUAAGCAUUUACUUAAGGAACAUUGAAGAUAAUUGAUAGGAACUGAACCGUACAUUGUC